rnacentral:misc_RNA from 1 species
UUUCCGUAGGUGAACCUGCGGAAGGAUCAUUAUUAUAUAACCGAGUAGCGAGUUCUCGCGCUGACCCGAAAGGUCAUGCACCCCCGAGUGCCCGCACACACAUCCAUCUCAGCCCUAUGUGCACCACGGCGUGGGUCGCCCUUUGGCUUGGUCCGAGGGGGGCUUACGGCUCCACACAAACUUUGUAUGCAGUGUAGAAUGUACUUUUUGUUUUUGCGAUCCCACAAUAAAUACAACUUUCAACAACGGAUCUCUUGGCUCUC